GGAGAGAUGGCAGAGUGGUCGAUUGCGGCGGUCUUGAAAACCGUUGAGCCUGCGAGGGCUCCCAGGGUUCGAAUCCCUGUUUCUCCGCCA
rnacentral:tRNA from 1 species